CAUAAUGCAGCGGCACCGCAAGGUGACAGUUGUUAAAGAUUUAUCGCUUGAGGAGGAGCUUGCGGCAGAUUAGCUAGUUGGUAAGGUAAUGGCUUACCAAGGCUACGAUCUGUAACCGGUCUAAGAGGACGGUCGGUCACACUGACACUGAAUAACGGGUCAGACUCCUACGGGAGGCAGCAGUCGGGAAUUUUGGGCAAUGGGCGAAAGCCUGACCCAGCAACGCCGCGUGAAGGAUGAAGUAUUUCGGUAUGUAAACUUCGAAAGAAUGGGAAGAAUCAAUGACGGUACCAUUUAUAAGGUCCGGCUAACUACGUGCCAGCAGCCGCGGUAAUACGUAGGGACCAAGCGUUGUUCGGAUUUACUGGGCGUAAAGGGCGCGUAGGCGGCUUGUCAAGUCGAAAUCUCUGGGCUUAACCCAGAACGG
rnacentral:rRNA from 1 species